rnacentral:rRNA from 1 species
UACGAGGGGGGCGAGCGUUGUUCGGAAUUAUUGGGCGUAAAGGGCGCGUAGGCGGUGCGGUAAGUCACCUGUGAAAUCUCCGGGCUCAACUCGGAGCCUGCAGGCGAAACUGCCGUGCUAGAGGGUGGGAGAGGUGCGUAGAAUUCCACGUGUAGCAGUGAAAUGCGUAGAUAUGUGGAGGAAUACCGAUGGCGAAGGCAGCCCCCUGGGUCGAUACUGACGCUCAUGCACGAAAGCGUGGGGAGCAAACAGG